rnacentral:RNase_P_RNA from 1 species
CGGGGUGGGUAGCUGGCUCACGGCUUUGUGCUGAGGAAAGUCCGCCCACCCACAGGCGCGGUGUUGAGGCAUUAUGCCUGCUCUCGCCAGAGAGUCCCGGAGACGGGAGGCAACCACACAGAAACGAGACCGCCCUGCGCGCGAAUGAUGAUGGAUCGGGAACCGCAAGGUUUCUGGCCUGCUCGGGAACGUGUUCCCGGCAGACGCGAAGGAUCCCGCGAGGGAGCCGAGAUAACCUCCGGAAUUGCGCAGGGGAUGGCUGAGACGGUGAGCCCCUGGCGGUGCAAGUCCAUUGCGACGCUGAGUUGAAUGCCGGCGCGGGCCACGCUCCCCUGUGGAGCGGCAAGCCCGACAAAAGGCGGCUUAUUCCUGCCCCG